ACCUCAUCUCCAAGAAAUCCGACUCGAAACUGUUCAAGGCGCGAUUCUACGUUCCGCAGCCGGAAAACAACCGUAACGGACAGUUUCUGACGACAGACUUAGGCGGAGGAGGUGCAGCGCAGAGACUCCUUUUUACAACGGGCGCUCCUAGAAGAUACGCUGCCGUCCUCCAGUCCAUCGCCCCGGAGAGGAUCAGGGGGCGAUGAAUACUUUCCUCAAGUGAAUUUUAAGUUUCCGAUUUGUGAAAAUUGUUUUGCGAGUGAUGACGAUUUUCGAUGUUAAAAUGCAAUAAAUGAUUUUCACACUCUUCCAUUAA